CGUAGUUACGUUACGUAACCUCGGUUACCUGUUAUUGAAAAAUAAUUCGUUAAUUAAAUGGCUUAUUUUAUUAUAAUCAUAUAAAUUUUAAAAAUGUAUGUACUAAAUAAUCGUACAUUAUUACUGUUUAUUUGUAACGGCUGUUGCUAUCUGCAUCGCGCUGUACUUUGACAACUCUUUCUUGUCAAACGUAUACCGGUUGGCCGCUUCCCUUCCCCCGCGGACCCUCUCUCCGCGCGGAGAUGCGCCUCAGCCGAGCGGUCAGUCAGAUUGAGCUAUCAGUCGCCGGCGCACGCUCGCUUGCCUUGCGCAGUGACUAUCGUGUGGCCGGCGACAAAUGAUUAAUAUUUUAAUAGAUAUCUGUAUCGUUUAAUAUCUUCAAAUGUAAAUGAGUAGUGUUUAAAUCCCCAAUUGGGGUGCUAUGGUACGGGUGAUCACCGGCCAUGAGACCACCAUCACGCUGACUCCAAGGACCUGGUGCUGACCCUGGCAGUCACGGCUGACGUUCUUCAGCACUCCGUCACUUCACCUACAUAGCGGAGCCAGGGAAGUACUAGCGUGUGGGCUACAGCUGCUUUCUUAAUCCGGGAGUAAAAUUAAUCAGACGGUUAACGGACUUUGACCCUUCGACGAUUGUUUCGAAUGCUUGCGACGGUUUAAGCGGAAUAAAUUUGUGAAGUGAGA